rnacentral:rRNA from 1 species
UGCAUCCUGCGAAUCCCUUGGAAACUUGGGAGUGCCUUCGGGAGCGCAGAGACAGGUGGUGCAUGGCUGUCGUCAGCUCGUGUCGUGAGAUGUUGGGUUAAGUCCCGCAACGAGCGCAACCCACGUCUUUAGUUGCCAGCAUUCAGUUGGGCACUCUAGAGAGACCGCCGGUGAUAAACCGGAGGAAGGUGUGGAUGACGUCAAGUCAUCAUGCCCCUUACAUCCUGGGCUACACACGUACUACAAUGCUACGGACAAAGGGCAGCAAACUCGCGAGAGCUAGCAAAUCCCAUAAACCGUGGCUCAGUUCAGAUCGUAGGCUGCAACUCGCCUACGUGAAGGAGGAAUCGCUAGUAAUCGCAGGUCAGCAUACUGCGGUGAAUACGUUCCCGGGUCUUGUACACAC